AUACGGAGGGUGCGAGCGUUAAUCGGAAUUACUGGGCGUAAAGCGCACGUAGGCGGUUUGAUAAGUCGGAUGUGAAAGCCCCGGGCUCAACCUGGGAACUGCAUUCGAUACUGUCAGACUAGAGUAUGGUAGAGGGAAGUGGAAUUCCGGGUGUAGCGGUGAAAUGCGUAGAUAUCCGGAGGAACACCAGUGGCGAAGGCGGCUUCCUGGACCAAUACUGACGCUGAGGUGCGAAAGCGUGGGGAGCAAACAGGAUUAGAAACCCCGGUAGUCC
rnacentral:rRNA from 1 species